UUGAAGAGGGUGCGGCGGGUGUGGAGAAGGAAGUGCCAGCAAGCCAGCCCCACGUUCUGAAGCAAAAGACAGAGGCAGGUUUGGGGGAAUGAAGUGCCUACGCCCGACCACCAGCAGGUGAACACAGGAAACACUGAGGCAAGCGGCUGGGGGCUCCUUCAAGCCAGCUGGGGAAUUUACAGCCUCCUGCUUCUCUCAAGUCCACGAUGUGAAAGAACAGCUCGGCACACUUGGAAUCAUAGUUCCGUGAAUGUGACAGUGAAGUCGGGCAGACAGCAGGCAUGAUGGCUUCACCUGCUACCUUUGCACUCUCUGAACUGGAUUGCUUGACGCUCAGUGUAGACCCAACACCAGGGCUGUAGAAAGUGUGCCCUCUGGGAGCCCGCCACCGCUGGCUGGACUGCGCGGCAGGGAUGGGAGCUGCGUGCACAGACUCACAUUGAUGCAGACCCAGCCACUGGUCUCACUACAGUUACUGUGUCACCCAGCUGGGAAGGUGGAGGGCAGGACCCCGCACGUGUGUGCCGUGGCGUCGAAGACGUGGAAUGGAUCCAAGUCCUCAACCACCGUGGAAGAGAGGUGCUGUCAACCCCGGGGCGGGAGGCCCGGAGCAGACAGUGAUCUCAGAUGUGGAGGUGGGGACUGAAAUAAUCAGCGGGCACUGACGAAGGAGGCUGCCCUGGGAAACAGGAAAUGGGGGUGGCGAGCAGGGACAGGGAACCUCGCUGUCUCCUGUAGAGUGAAUGGUCGGUCCUUUCAGACUGUGGGUGCGUGUGAGACUCUGAUCAUAUAACAACUAAGUGGAAAAAAUUAACCAUAAGAGGUGGCCUGGACUCUUGCCCCUAGUUCCUCCAGGUCCUAGAGCUAAUUAUCUUCUCUGACUUUCUGCUGGCAAGAGUGAUUCCCAGGUGUGGCGACCUCUCAAUGCCCCUGGGGCACUGGCCGUUCUCGGGUCCCCGGCCCCUCUUUGCACUCUGAGCUGUGCCUGGGUGAUUCCUAAUUGUUCAGGGUAAGAAGGCCGAGCCUUCUGAAAGGUGCAGAAGGCCCCUGAGACACACCUCCAUGUCCACUUCAGGGGCUCUCCAGUAGAUCUCACUUUGAUAAGAGGAGCUCCCUGUACUGUGACGGGGAACUGUCCCACCACAGGUGUCCCCUUCUGUGUCUCACUCUCUCUAAGCUGUGACCGAUGGGCCCAGCUGCCAUCCAUCCACUGGGCAUUGAGGGGACCAGCGAGGCCCCUUUGAUGAUUCCCGUCUGCCUGGUGGGCCCACGAGGCUCGGAAGGACAAUGCUUCACUGAAGAAAUUCAAGAGUGGCUCUUCUCUGAAUUCAUUCUGAACGACGUCAAGUCCCCUUAAGUCCAGCCAUCAACCCGGGAAACACGUUUCCAUGAGAGAUUAUGGCGACGUUGCAUUUGGUUGACACCUUUAUUUCAUUUGACGUGUCCUAACCAUUUCAGCGUCCCCAGGACUAGAUGCGCGGCCUGACACGCAUUAGGUGCUCUAGAAAUGUUUGUGAAGGGAGCACGGGCAAUACAAAGUGGCUUAUUUCUCAUUACCUCCUUCUAAGAAAGGUGAUAUCUGAGAAAUGACUUCCGGCUGAGACCUGUUAACAAGCACGCGUCCAGUCCUGCACCGGACACUAGGAACAGAGGGUAAAGCAGAUUUAAAAACUACGGUGUGUGCGUGCUCCCCCUGCCCGCCAGGCACCCGCGGGCCUGGGGGGAAGCCUGGUGAGGAAGAAGUAUUUGCGGUGUCAUGUUAGUUACCAAACCAAACUCGGGUCCCCUCGCCCAGAUGCGGUAAAUCCAAGCUGCUGACCCCGGCUUGUGGUGAAGGAAAGCGCAGAGUCCGGGGUAGCUGGUGCUUAAAACACUUCAACUGUCUGGUGGUUUCUGGGCAACAGUUUUUACAGGCAAAAUCUGGGGGGAGGUCUGGGGUGUGUGACCUUCCUCUGACCGGCUGCUGGUGAGGUCAGCCUUCAGGUUCCUAGCGGUCUGGGGUCCGCGUGCUUGUGCUCAGCCUGAAGUUUCCACCCUCCACCUGGGUGGGUCUUAGUUCCCAUCAAAGAACUCAGAGACCUGUAUCAGGUGGCUCUGUACACCCCUUUGGGAGGGACCAGGACCCUGCUCGUCCCCGCACGACUGUUCCUUGAUUGCCUUUCCUUUGUCUGCACCCCCUCCCUGCCCUAGUUAGGGACUGUUUGAAUCUGCCCUUUGGAACCCAGGGAAGGUCUAGGAGGCUGAAACCUUUUUCCUACAAGCAAGAAAUGGGGAGAAGGAAGGGCUUUUGUACCUGGGAGGGCCCCACAGGGUCCUGCUCAUUUUCAAUACAAUGUGUGCAAAAGAGCUCAAGUCUGCCAGGUGGGGUGCGGGGAGGUGACACUCACUGUCUGGUUUUCUCUGUGACUUUGGCGGCAGAAACUUCCGAGAGAAAUGGGAAGCAGGCAAGGAGUGUGGUGUCUGGGGAGGGACAUAAAGGUUUGAAACAGCAUGACAAUGCAGGGAGAGGGGCGGACACCAGUGUGUGACCGCUGAGAGUCCCUGAGUGCUCACCAGGGCCGGAGACCACAGAUCACUGUGCUGGUGUGAGUUCCUGACACGCACUCAGGGGUUGAAGCAUCAACAUGGGGCACGAGACAUGUGAGCCUGCGAGGGACAGGGAGGCUGUGGAGCUGGGUCCCUGCAGUAGAGGGGCGGUGAGAAUCGGGGCUGGAUGACACGGAGGCGAGGCCUCACAGGGAGGAGCCUGGAAUCUGCUUGUAGCCAAGAGGGUGCCCGUCUCCCACUCACCACUCUAGUCCCCUCUCGGUGGGCUUUGGAAGAACAGAGCAUCUCCACCGACAGAACAGAGCAGAGGGAGACCCCGGGGAGGGUCCAUCCAGGUGAGGAGGCAGGAGACCCUGGAAAGUGUUUGUUCAUCACUCUGGGCAAGGGCUCCAGGUGGCAGAGGGAGACGGCAUGGAGGGGGAAGCCUGAACAGCCCCAGGGUGAGUUUUCAGGAGAGGAGACAGGGGAGUGCUGGGGACGGCUGGGAGGAAGAUGGGACCAGAUAUGGUGGGACUGUCUACAGAGAGGUUUUGAGAAGGUAACCCCAGCAUAGAGGCGGAGGACACCCAGGAGGGAGCCUGGGUCUUGGCACCUGGACAUAGAGAGGUUUCUUUUCCUAAUACACGUGUGUACUUUGGUUUGUCAGGCCACAGCCCAAGGAAAUACAAUGGGCUCAUCCUUUAACCCAAACUGCAACAGACAACCAACAACCUUGAAGCUGUGUCCACUGUCACUCUCUGAAGGUGUCCGGAGUUAAUUCAGAGACCUUCCGUCCACGCGGACGGGAUUUCACAAGCUCACUCUGUGCUGUUUGGGUCUCCAACUCUGGGGCUAUACGUCCUGUCUUUACCAGGAAAUGUGAAGCAAAUUGUGGCAGCAGAGCGAGGUAGAGAUGGAGACGCAGACUCCAGCUCCUUCACUCCCUUGUGCUGGUUUUAGUUCACACCAUCGCCUACUGACCGCAAUUUGAAAACUAAAUGUAUCCUUUUAUCAUUGUUAAUUGUUUCAAAACUAAAGAGUAAAUCAAGAAAAUACAAUUUACAA